AGUGAACGCUGGCGGUAGGCCUAACACAUGCAAGUCGAACGGCAGCACAGUAAGAGCUUGCUCUUACGGGUGGCGAGUGGCGGACGGGUGAGGAAUACAUCGGAAUCUACUUUUUCGUGGGGGAUAACGUAGGGAAACUUACGCUAAUACCGCAUACGACCUACGGGUGAAAGCAGGGGAUCUUCGGACCUUGCGCGAUUGAAUGAGCCGAUGUCGGAUUAGCUAGUUGGCGGGGUAAAGGCCCACCAAGGCGACGAUCCGUAGCUGGUCUGAGAGGAUGGUCGGCCACACUUGAACUUGAACACGGUCCCUGCUCCUACGGGAGGGAGCAGUGGGGAAUAUUAGACAAUAGGCGCAAGCCUGAUCCAACCAUACCGCGUGGGUUAAGAAAGCCUUCCGGUUGUAAAGCCCUUUUGUUGGGAAAGAAAAGCAGCAGGUUAAUACCCCGCUGUUCUGACGGUACCCAAAGAAUAAGCACCGGCUAACUUCGUG
rnacentral:rRNA from 1 species